rnacentral:rRNA from 1 species
AUCGCUCAACGGAUAAAAGGUACUCCGGGGAUAACAGGCUGAUACCGCCCAAGAGUUCAUAUCGACGGCGGUGUUUGGCACCUCGAUGUCGGCUCAUCACAUCCUGGGGCUGAAGCCGGUCCCAAGGGUAUGGCUGUUCGCCAUUUAAAGUGGUACGCGAGCUGGGUUUAGAACGUCGUGAGACAGUUCGGUCCCUAUCUGCCGUGGACGUUUGAGAUUUGAGAGGGGCUGCUCCUAGUACGAGAGGACCGGAGUGGACGAACCUCUGGUGUUCCGGUUGUCACGCCAGUGGCAUUGCCGGGUAGCUACGUUCGGAAGAGAUAACCGCUGAAAGCAUCUAAGCGGGAAACUUGCCUCAAGAUGAGAUCUCACUGGAGCCUUGAGCUCCCUAAAGGGCCGUCGAAGACUACGACGUUGAUAGGUUGGGUGUGUAAGCGCUGUGAGGCGUUGAGCUAACCAAUACUAAUUGCCCGUGAGGCUUGACCAUAUAACCACCCAAACAAUU